AGGAUCUCGAGGAAUAUCACCCUUAUAUCUAUAUGGAAUCUCAAUCACCGCAUCCGCAAUAACGAACUGUAGAUAUAUAUUUUUAUGUAUAUCUCACAAUGUUACGAACACUUCACCCGAUUAUAUCUACAACGCAUCAGCGUAUCACAGUUGUGCGGUCCGGUAAUACGGGGUCCUCGCAGAUCGGGUUCCUCUUUCUGACUGCGAAGUUAUCGGGGAGAUGGAUUCGUAGUCGCCCUCCGCCUGGCCGCACGGCUAACGACGAAUAACAAGAAGAAGAAGAAGACGACGACGCGGAGUAAGUUGUAGGCAGCGGAGGAAGAGAGAGAGGAACAGAGACGGAGAAAAAUUCAACCGGGGAGAAUAGGAACGCGUUGCUGCUGUUGCUGUUGCUGCUGCUGCUGCGUGGGCGGGACCAAAAGUUACGCCCGGAUGUUCCUGACACGAGGGAAUCGAAGGGGACCUACGGGCACACAUCGUUCGAGUCGUUCGAUCGGCCGGGCAUGCCGGCGGUCGCAGGGCGCGAGUGAAGGAGGUCUAAUUUUCAUUCGGCCAUUUCUACUUCCCACCCCGGAGCUGCACGCUUCCGUUAAUUUCGAAGAACGACGACCUUUCGCGACCUUCCGGUCCGAAAUUUCCAGACAAUGGACGACGAAAAGAGAUUUACAAGCGUACGGGGGUCCAUCGGCGGCGGCACCACGGAUGCCACCACCUCGCCUUCUUCGCAGGUAUAUGUAUAGGUAUACGCGAAGCACGAGGACUCGAAAAAUCUGGAUAACCCGAAGAUCUCAUAUAUACCUGAAACUUUUAGUUGGAAAUCCGAAGACGUACGACCGGCAACAUUUGGACUUUUCUCAAGACCUCCCGUAGCUGUUGGUUCUGUUGACUUGUCAACAUCCUCGUCAGAAGGACUAUUGCACAGAGUCCUUCGUCCUUCGUCCUCGAUCAUUCCGCUCCUAUACGCGAUAUGCCGUUCGCAUCCUCCACCCCCCCGCAAGGAUAUACAUAGACGUUAACUAUGAGGAUUACACGAAAUCAUACAUAUACAUAGAUAAAUGAAUCCAAAGAAAAAAUGGAAGAAAAAAAGAAGGAAGAGCAAACCGAUGAGAACUUGUGAUCCGGAAAAAAGAUUUCAUCUCUCUGCAUUUAUAUACAUAUAUGUAUAGGAGGAAAGAGGAAGCGGAGGUGGAGGAAGUGGAAAUUGAGCUGCAAUAGGCUUUGCUGAUUCGAAUUUAUUCGUUCACCCAUUGGUUGUACCACGUCUGAUGAAUUUGGAGUUUUUAUUCUUCGAAUUUCAACGACGAUUGUUAAGAAAAAUUGUACAAUACGACUGGCGACUGAGACACUUAAUAUUCCCGUGCCUUGUGCCCUUCGCGUGCUGCCGCAUGCAGACCAUGAAGCUACUAAAUGUGUAGUAAAAUUCUUUGCCGAUCGUUUGGAAGUCGUAAAGUGCAGUAAAAUCAUAAACCCAUAAAUAUUUCAUCAUCGUUCGCGUAAUCCCCAUUGUCGUACGAACCUCACCGAGGGGGGUUUGAGGCGCUGGAGAGUAACGCGUAUGAAAAAAUGGGUUCCACGUUCAAAAACGGUAUCGCAAAAAAGAUGACCAAAAAAAAAGGUGAAGGAAAAUAGCCAAUCGAGGCGAGGGAAGGAACAGGGAACGUGGGCGUGCGCCUGCUAAGGACAUAGUCGAGCUGUGUGGGAACGACUCACCGGAGUUUCAGAUGUUGGGGGGCAUGAACGCGAGCGUGAAGUAUCGAGAUUUCGCGGCGUAGUUUUUCCAUCGGUUCAGAGUAACAGCCAUCAGCAACGAUGUAAACCAACUUUAUACACUAUGCAGCUACAGCAUCGUCGUCGUCGUCGUCGUCGACGGGAUAGGAGAGGAUAGGAUAGAAUGGGACGAUGCCCGGGUGGAUGGGACAGGAAUCGAGGAGUGAAAAUAUUCGAUGAUUUCUUUCAUCGCCGAGAUGGAGAUGCGAGAUUCUGGUGGUGCUGGUGGGACUGGGAUAUCGUCGCGGGACGGUCAAUGGCUUCUUCGUCAUGUCGUUCUCGUCGAUGCAUAUUGCUCUUGUUGUACGACAAAGCAGGAUUAUCAGCCAUAGAAAAUUUUUCUUAAAUCGAAGAAGACGAGGACGAAUGCGUCGGAAAUGAAUGAAAGAAAAUCAGCUGUUUGAUACCAUCAGAGGGAACGUCGAAAGGAAGAGAAUAUAUCGGUGAAGAUGAAGGGAAUUUAUUUAUCAACGAGACUGUAAUUCGAAAUUGAUGGAAUUCAACGGCUGAUCGAAUGUCUGCAAUGCGUUUGCAGGUCCGAUGAGUUAUGUAAAGGUGUACAGCGUGUAACACAGAUCGAAAUUUCGUUCUGAUUCCUUGGAUAUGAGUUACGGAAGCUCUCGCGAGUACACGAAGCGUUCGACGUCUGUCUAUCCGUCUGCAGUCUGUCUGUCCGUACGCCUCAUCUGGAUAAUUUAUCGGACAAUGUCGAACCGAUCGAUGUCGUCGUAGAAUCGGGUGGCGAUCGUUCACGUCUGCCUGGAUCUUUCUUGAACCGGAGGACACUUACCACGUAUACCUGAUUUCGGUCACGCUUUCGACGACGCCGAUGACCGCGAUGACGAUGACGAUGACAGCUAAAUGAAAACGACGCGAAUGUCGACAUCGCCGGACGACGACCACUACGUGGAUCUGUACCGAAUACAGAUGCGCACAUCUGCAGGUGAUGUACGUUUCAUACAGAGGAUGAAAUAUAAAGAGCGUUUCCCCAGGAAUUAUAUAAGGUAAUUAUUAUUCCCCGUGGACUCGUGGAGGCCGCCUCAAUUUCCUUGGCACCUGAUGUGCCGUGCCUCGAUUCCGAGCCACCGAACUACUCCACACCACUCUGGGGGGUCUUCCGGCUAGCUGCUGCUGCUGCAGAAGCGAGGCGAUCGCACGACGGUAGCAACGAUGCAUUAUACAUCCCGUAGCCCCGUGAACACAAAACUCGAGGUGUAUAAACCAUGAGGUAUCAAAUGUCCGGUUGCAACGAACCUCGAUAUUCACCUAUACACACUAUAUCUACAAUAUACUCGGAGGCAUGUAUCGAUGGAUUUUUAAUUUGUGCCUACGGUAGGCACGUAUAAGUGGCGUAGGACAGUAGCGCGUCUUCAUUUUACCGUGACGAUCAUGAGGGCGACGGCCAUCUUUCUCUCCUGUCCGCCGCAUUAUGGUCAUAGGUAGCCGAGGUAGUAGACAUGUAUACAGCAAUGUGAGGUGUUAGAUGGCUGGUAUGUGGCUUCGGCAGACAUUCAGACACGGUAGUGGUAUCCAUACUGCAGGUGCAGGUUUUGACUUUUUUUUUCACCUAGGAUACAUACCAUCUUCGCCUCACGAACCACAUGUAUUUCGUCUCAACGAUCGUGUCCUACGAGGUGGAGCGAAUUUCAUAAACAGAAUUAUGAGAAUGAUACCGAUAUAAUGACUCCUCAGACAUAGUAUAUACACUCGUAUAAACUGGACUUGAAAAAGAUCCCACGCCAUUUGUACGUACAUGCACAUAUGGAGAUUAUAACACGGCGGGUGAUUAUAACGAGCUAGGAUGAUGCCCAAUAAUAGAAGUUUGUAUAGUUGUAAUGACCUACCGCAGUCCGGCUACGCGCGAUGCAGUAGCGGACCAAUUUACGGGACCAUUGACCAUCUCUCAUGCCAUACAUACACAACUCAACGUGUUAGACGUUACACGUACCGCGUACACGCCGAUGUGAGAUACAUAUGUAUGAUAUUAUAACGAUUCAAAACGUCACAGACGAGCGACGGGACGCUUAAGUUAGCGGCGACAUUUGGAUGAUGCAUGUACCAUAGACCCGGGACCACACAUAUGCCAACCUUCUGCACGUAACUAUAUAGGUGGGAGUCGGUUCGUUUGUAAAUCGAGUCGUCGUCGUCGUUCGUUCAGCUUUGUGCACCAUUGGAACGUUCGAAGUUGGAAGUUGGAAGUUGGAAGUUUGAAGUUCGAAGUUAGUUGGGACCCAAAGUCCGCUGCUCCCGCUGCUGCUGCUGCUGGCCCGCGGCUCGUAUAAAAUUUAAAAGUCUUCUGUCCGGACCGAAAUUGAGAUCGAAAAAUACCUAUAUACACCCAUGUACACAUGUAUGAAAUACCUCAAGAUAAUAUGGAUCCGUAUAAAAGUGGUUAAACUAAUUGGAAAUGCAGAUAGGCGAGACGAAUGACUACCGUGUUGCAGCUAUCAGCUGGAUAUGUAUGAGGUUUUCCUCUUCGAUGUGGAAUAAAUAAACGAAUCAUAAUUGAAGAAUAGGGAAAAUCCAAAGAAGGAGAAAAAACAAAAUGGGAAUGAGGAAAAAAACAGGAAUGCCCUGACUGAGAGCCGCUGCAAAAAUCGGGCGGCAAAUGAAAAGUAUAAUUAAUGAUACACGCGGCCGCAGAAUUCAUUCAUGGCUAUACGCGCGCAGCUCUUGUAUGGAAUCCGGGGGCUGCUUCAGAUUAUAAAAACCACAAAAAGAACAACAUGAUUAAAAACUUGAAGGAAAAAAAAUUAAUAACAGACAAAUAAUAACAAUAAUAACAGCAACAAUAAUAAUCACGACAGCGACGAUAAGGAAGAAAAAAUAGAUGUAUAAAAACAAAUGUACCGCAGGAGCGAGGAGAGGGAACGAAAAAAUGGUGAAAAAGUCAAAGUGGAGAAAAUGGAGCAAAAAUUGUGACGCAUUGUGGUAGCGGUUUUUUAUCUACACGGCGGCAAUGUUACCUAUAUAUAUAUAUGGCACAUAGGUAUACACAGGUACGCGUCCGUACAUACUUCAAACCAGACGACGACGCCCCAACGAAAGACGAAUAUUGAUAGUCCCUCGCGGUCAGCAGACUUAACUUCAUAACCGGACAUCGCCACACAAUGCUCCUGCGAGAUUGUAAUAUGUGUGCAGGGUCGACAUGGGUGUGUAUUUCGUGUAUACACGUAUUAUAUACUCGUAUAUACUAUGCCUACUAUACACGAACCUGAUGCGCAGCCCAUAUACAAACAGAUCCUCAUUUAUUUACCAAUCGACCAUAGAGAUCGAGCCGAAGAGGAGAUGGAGAUGGAGGAGGGGGAGGAGGAGGGGGAGGAGGAGGAGGAGGAGGAGGAGGAAGAGAUCGGAAGACCAGAAAUGAGAGGGAGGAGAUGUGUAUACAUAUAGAAGGAUGGAAGAUUGAAGAUAUUAAAGAGAAAAGAAAAAGAUCGAGAAUUAUCUGCCUCGCGCGAUCGCACCGUGACGGAUUUAGAUCAGCUACCGGAAUUACUGUAUACCUCGUCCCAUACAUGCUACAUUUCUAUGUAUGUACGGAUACGUACAUAUACAUAUACAUGCAGAUAUACUAUAUAAGGUAUUACUGAUACAUCGUAUACGUGCGAUACGAUGACGAUCACGAUGAUGACGACGAUGAUGACUCGGAGUGUGUGAAAUCGAGCCGAAUAGAUACGCCCUCUGAUCCUUUUGAUGAGUCGACACUAUCAAAAAUUUUCGACUGAUUCCAAAAUAUAUACCACAGCCAGGGACGAUCCCAUUUACAAAGGCUCCACAACGGGGGAAACUUUCCGGGCAGCGUGCACCUACAGUAUUUGAGGAUGGAUCUUUUUGUUUUCCAUUUGUUUUCGGGGAGCGUGGAGUAUAGAUUAACCUGAAGUGAGACCGCCGUGGUAUCCGGGUUAUGGUUAAUUUUCGAAAGGCUAUUAUCGAUCAGGUACAAUAUAUUAAAAGGUCGGGUGCAGCCCGCAGCCUGCGAUGCGGUAGGAGGAAGGAGAGAACGAGAGGAAAUUGAAGGGGGACGGAGAAGCAGUCUACAAAGUUUGGGUACGUGUACACCUAUGCGUCGACCAACACCAGUGUCGAGGAACACGGAGCGGUGCGCAGAAGCUCCAACGCGAGAAAAGUGUUUUGUUUUUGCCUAAUUUGCCCUACAGCCUCAUCCUCAUCCUCAUCUCAUCGAGUUUGCUGCUACUACUUCUUCUCAUCUUCUAAGCGAGCCUCCUCCGAGGGAUUCACGGGACUCUUCUCUGCACUCGCCGCUUCGGCUGCAACAUCAUCCAUUCCACAAACUCGUCAAGUCAUCUUUGACCGGGGCUUGAUCAAGCCGACACUUCAACAUACCUCAUACACCAUCCUCGGAUAAUAUUCUUACCAGUUCUCCUCUCAUGCUUUUCGCUUUGCACGUUGCAUGUUGUACACAUACUACGUACAAGAUGUACGUAGAUACCCUUAUAUCGAGUCGGAUAGGACACAACGCACGUUCAUCGAGAGUCGGACGAAGAGAAGAAAUCGCGCCUUUAGGCGUCGACGCGCGUGUACGGUGGAAGCGGAUAUUUGGGCGUAUGUGAAUGAGCAGAGCAACAGCAAGCGGGCGGCAUUUCUCAAACAGGACUACCGAGAUCACCAGGUUAUAUACUCGCAGAGCGCUACAGCACACCUUCCAAGGGGUGACACAAAGUGAUCCCUGCACAGGGAAAAGCUCUGAAAUGCCCAAUUUUAGGGACAGAGGAUCCACCUGCAUUGUAUUAUUUUCGGGAUGAAUUGGGUAGCAAAAAUGAUGGAAUAAGAAAUGGUCCGAUUCUUAUGAUUUUCUUUUCUUCAAUCUCAUCCGGCGGCAUUGCAUCGCUGACGCACCUAUACCACGACGUUAUAAACGCGCUGCCUCAAAUUAUAUACACACGCAGUAUAUGUAUUUCUACAUAUAUACACAUCGACCUUAGAUUUGAUAAAUUAAUUCGCAGCGGAAACGCUUGACAAGGAAAUAACGUAGUUAUAAAGAAAUAGGUGAAGGUAUGGGCUCUCCGUACGCUGACAAGCAACUGAGUGAUGCCCACAUGCACCCGAAGUUGACUAUAAAUAAAUAAAAGCACGUGCUGGACGGUGGCAACGGCGACGUCUAUUAUUAGAGGCAAUUAAUGAGACACGGUUUCUGUUCGGAAGUAAUCCGUGUUAAAGCGCAUUUUACGCGCUUAGAGUUUAUAUACUCUUGUCGUGCCACGUAUAUACACCAACUUCGAUAUGGUAACGCGCUCCAAAGAAUCAUCUCUGUACCGCAAAAACAUUACAACUUCCUCAUCUCAACAAUUUACACAUAUGCACAAGGUCUAUACGAUGACAUACGAGCAUAUAGACGGUCGAGUAGAGUAAAGGACAAGAACUAUUAGCAUCGACGCGUGCUGAAGUAAUGGCUUGAACCGCAGCAGAGUCCAUAUGUUCAUAUUAUACGUUGUAUACUAUACACGUAAUAAUCUUUGAAGAGGAUUUUCUGGUCGUGGACUUUUGACUUUGAGGAAAAAUGGGGAAGAGUUAGUGGAUGCUGUCGUUCCCGUUACCGCCUAAGAUCGUGUACAGUUGUUUCGGUUUGUUUGACACCGCUAACACACGGGACCUCCCAUAAGCAAUGAAUAUAGGAUCUAAUUCGGCUCAGGGUACAUCGAACAAGGGUGCAUCUAGAUGCGGAUUGGAUCAGGGAUUAUAAAUCUUUGAAAACCACCGAGACGACGACUACGACGACGACGACGAAAAACCAGUAUCUUUGAUGUGCCUAUAUGUAUAGCCGCAGCAAUAAAUAUUUAUGGUGCUUAUACUAAGUACAUAAAACCGCAGGUAAACCUAGACUGUGGAGCUCCGGUAGCGGGCGUCCGUAGUAAAUUUGUCAAAUAAUUUUCACUCGAGAUACGAGGACCUGAAAUAUCCAGCCACGCCUAGUUUUUCAGUUGACUUCCUAAUCCCCAUUCAAUUGACGGGGCUAAUGGGAGGACGUAUAUGUAUGUGUGUUCGUACCUACGUUUGACGGAAACUACUGCGCAGCUGUAUGCUGGUCCUUGCACUGCAAAAUAUUGUGACUUUAAUUCCAUGAAGUUAAACCGGUAGCUCAAAAGCUAAGACCUGAGAGGCUCCCGCACCACCUUUAUUAUACUGUUUGGAUACCAGAGUGGGAGGUCUGUUGGCGGAAUUAAGGUAUACCACUCCCGUGAAAAUUUUCAAAACGAAUUCUUACACGUUACACGUACUCGAUACGCCGUACAUCGCGGAUCACGAUUUGCACAGUAUCGACGAUAAUUCGGUUGGAUAAAAACGGAAUUUUGAAAAGCUGAGUAAUCGAAAAUGAGGUUUUCAAUUCCUCCCCUCCCCCCCCCCCCCCCCCCCCCACCCCGGCCUGCAUCAACUCUCGUAUAAUUUCCGAGUAGAUAUUCAGCCCACGCCCAGCAGCGUAUAAUGUGAAUCGAAGGCGUGCCCUGGAGGAGGGUCGGAUGAUCCCCACUGCCACUGCAACUCGUUGCGUAUUUGUUCGUUUUACCUCGAGCUUUUCACCUCGUCUUUCUUCGUUCCUUACGUGUGUUCUUUACACGCUUUGUACAGGGUGGGGACGGGGGGGCGUUCGCAGCAACAGCUACUGGAAUAAAUUCCCCCCCCCCCCCGUUACCGCUUUUUCCACCAGGUAUGUACGUACGUCGAAAUGUAACUCGACGUUUAUUCGCACACAUCUUAAUCAUCUGCGCGGAAUAAUCUGUUAUAGGGGGAACCUGCAUAUCUUCGCCAAACGCUGCAUCGCAACGUCAACCGGGACGUGGCCGGCGUGUGGCCCGUCGGUGGUCGACCAGCUCGAGCCCCUAAUUUUCGCAAGAAAAUCAAGAAGAGGGAAACCCGAAGCUCCAGAAAGAAGAAAAAAACUAGAGAGAGAGAGAGAGAGAGAGAAGUGAGAAGUAAGUUGAAAAGACGAAUAACGCGUGUAAAGAAAUUCAUACGCAGAGCUAUGGAAUUCUGCUCAUAUUGAAUCAACGAUGAAUCCAAUAUGGACGUCGCGGUGGAUCUGCUUGGAAAUUUCAAUGCCCGAUAACGCGAGAUCUGAUUUCAUAUAUAUUUCCGAACUAUCACGGAUUCAUUUCACGAGGGUGCAGCGUGAGAUGGUUCGUCUUGCGACUUGGGAGAAAAUCAUUUCAACCCCUAGACCCAUGGCUGAUCCUUCGUCCGCAUCAAAUAAUAGGUACAUCUGCAUAUACCUACAUACCUAUGUACACCACACGGCUAUGUGGCAUUGUUUUUUGGUCUAUAAUCCUCGAGAGCAGGCGGUGGUUUCUUUUGGUGCCGGACUUAUCUCCCACGGGCUCAACGGUCUGACAUUUUUCACACUGUCGUUGAAGGGGUGAGUCACACCGCGAACGAUCGAAUGAUUAUUUGACGUGGAAAAAUUUGGACUGUAAAAACCGGGUCCUGGAGAAUCCGGGUCCCUGUAACACAGGCUUAUGUCCUCGAGCAUACUUCGCACCGUAUCUACGUACCUCGGGCAUUUCGCCAAUGCACCUUUGUAUUCGUUUGAACCAGCGAAAGACCUGUCAAAGGAUGUGGGAAAUUUUAUCGGCCAAUUUUUGGUAUCGACUGAUUCCGGAAGCGCCUGAUAUCCGUACAAUGUACUGGAAUCUCGUGGACCUUGAACGGAAGACUCUUACCGGUUGCAUGGAAUCGACCAACUUCUCGAUGGUCUUCGGAAUCUGGAAACUAAUCCGUCGAUCUCAAAACUGCUGAAUUUGGAAUUGAAGGAUUUGAAUUUAUUUUCGUCUAAGUAAUAAUAGGGAUUAUGAUUUCUUCCGUUGUAACCUGUGAAAGAAUGUAAAGUGAAGAAAUAAUUAGAAUGUCGUGUACAUAAAUCUGUAUUUCA